rnacentral:rRNA from 1 species
GACGAACGCUGGCGGCGUGCUUAACACAUGCAAGUCGAACGGAAAGGCCCUGCUUUUGUGGGGUGCUCGAGUGGCGAACGGGUGAGUAACACGUGAGUAACCUGCCCUUUACUUUGGGAUAACUUCAGGAAACUGGGGCUAAUACCGGAUAGGAGCUCCUGCUGCAUGGUGGGGGUUGGAAAGUUUCGGCGGUUGGGGAUGGACUCGCGGCUUAUCAGCUUGUUGGUGGGGUAGUGGCUUACCAAGGCUUUGACGGGUAGCCGGCCUGAGAGGGUGACCGGCCACAUUGGGACUGAGAUACGGCCCAGACUCCUACGGGAGGCAGCAGUGGGGAAUAUUGCACAAUGGGCGGAAGCCUGAUGCAGCAACGCCGCGUGCGGGAUGAUGGCCUUCGGGUUGUAAACCGCUUUCGCCUGUGACGAAGCGUGAGUGACGGUAAUGGGUAAAGAAGCACCGGCUAACUACGUG